UUCAUUCUGUAAUACUAAUUAUUAAGUAUUACAUAACAUGUGGUAUUUUGAAUCAAAUGAUGAACAUCAGACUGUGUAGCUAGAUCACAAAAAACUUCCUCUUCCGUUUCCAGAUGUAGAUCCAGAUCGCAUUUUUAAUCAAGUUUUUCUAAUACUUUCUCUCCCGUUUCCAAAUGUAGAUUCAGAUCAUAUUUUGAAUCAACUUUAUCUAAUUUUUGGCAUAUUCUCUUUAUUGUUUUGUUGCUAUAUGUAUGUUUGGCUCUAUUCACGUAGAUUGGAUAUGUUUCUAUACUUAAGAGAACCAGCUUAGUGAUUUGCUCUAUCUUUUUCUAAGUUUUGACAUAAUCUCUUUAUUGUUUUAUUGCUAUAUGUAUGUUUGGUUCUAUUCAGGUGGAUUGUAUGCAUUUCUAUACUUAAUAGACCCGGCUUAGUGGUUUACUCUAUCAUUUGCCUAUAGUUCUUAUCGUUUAUUUUAUUAAACUUUCUCAUUUCUGAAUUUUGCUUUCCUAUUGUAAAGCUAUACCAAAUGUAGAUCUAGAUCAGAUUUUUAAUCAACUUUAUCUAAUUUUUGGCAUAUUCUCUUUAAUGUUUUGUUGUUAUAUGUAUGUUUGGCUCUAUUCACGUAGAUUGGAUAUAUUUCUAUACUUAAGAGACCCAGAUUAGUGAUUUGCUCUAUCUUUUUCUAAGUUUUGCCAAAAUCUCUUUAUUGUUACUCGAUGCCGGUGAUGAUGAUGGUUUCUAUUAAUGCUUGAAGGAUGGCAUAGAUUGCAAAAUUUGUGCAACCCCGCAUUAAUUGGAAAUCAAAUGAACCAUACUAAUAACGGCAUCACAAUUUGAUCCUAUGGCUAUGUAAUUUGAGAAGAAAUUACUACAGCCUACUUUGAACUGCAAGAUUCUAUAUUGAAUAUCAGUAUUAUAACUGUUGCUUAUGUUUGUUGUCUCUGUUUCAUCGAUACAUGAUCAUUUUACUUUUAUUGUCCCUGUUUUAGCUCAAACUUUCUUGAUGCAUAUUUCGGUUAGGUUAAAAAAGGAAAAAGCAGGUUGAUGACAUGGUCCGAAACCAGACAAAAAAAAAAAUAAAAACUUAAUUUUAAGUAUUAUGAUUUGUUAGCAAAUUGACCUUGGGAAAUUUUUUUGCCCUUCAUUACCUUCAUUGUGAAUUAGUGGAGAGAUUCGAUGGUGCAUGUAUUACAAACUUAGAAACUUCUUAAAUUCUUGAUUUCCCUGUUGGUUCGCCUUUCAAAUUUGAAUGAAAUAGUCCAGCUUGCAUCAUGAGAGGAGAGUUUGGGUUUCGGAGAGAGUUCGACAUCAAAAAUCUGUAAUUCUGCUGUAAUUCUAAUAAAAAAAAUAACAAUUAUGAAUGACUGUGUCUAUAUGUUUGGCUCUAUUCAGGUGGAUUGUCCAAAUGGCGCGAGGACUCUGAAGCUCUCAAGGCACAAAUGCGCGAAAUAAACGAUAAGAUGUGACACUUUACCAAAUUAAUUAUACGUUUUAUAUUGAUAUAUAAGCUAUUGUUCUUGCUAGAUAUCUGGAACUGGGAAUGGAAUUCAGGAGGCCAUUGUAGUGGUUGUCCUCCUAUAUGGCUUCUUGAUUUUUUAUCAUAUGGCUCCCUCCUUGCUUGCUUCCUCUUUAAUUGUGCAUUCUCAUUCUCAUAUGAAGGCCUUAAUGGUUAUAAAUACUGCUUUUGUGGAUAAAAGAAACAUUCGGUGUACAAGAUAUAGAAAUGCUGAAUACAUAGGCCGAGGAAAAAAUUCAUGAUGUAGCGACAGAACUACAUGUGGUAGGCGGCACAUCUUUUUCAAGAAUUGGGAAUGUGACAUCUAAUACAAAUAUCGUAACGAAUGCAUGCCAUAGAAAAACUUUGCUGGUAGAGACAUGGCUAGCGAUGUGAGCUUCAAUGGUAUUGGAGCAAAAACAUAUGUGAAUACGAUGCCGGCGAUGAUGACGGUUUCUAUUAAUGUUUGGAGGAUGGCAUGAAUUGCAAAAUUUGUACAACCCCACAUUAAUUGGAAACCAAAUGAGCCAUACUACUAACGGCACUACAUUUUGAUCCUGCGGCGAACUAAUUUGAGGAAAAAUUUAGUGCUACCUACUUUGAACUGCAAGAAUUCAUGUUGAAUAUUGGUGUUGUCUCUGCUACUUAUCUUAGCUGUGUCUAUUUCGUGUAGUCACAUGCUUUUUUCCACCUGCAGCUAUUUCGUUACUAAUAAUGUGUAUGCUGAUCAAUAGUUGAGGCCUUUUUAAAUGAUUGCGCUUAAUUUACAGAGUUUAAAUUAAGUGACUAAAUGCCUAUUUGUUUGCUUUUAUAUCUGGAUGCAUAUGGCUUGGCUGUUUGUCCUACCAGCAUCAGAACAAUUCCAUGAGUGAAUGAUUGGAACAGUCCGAUUGCAAUGUUGGUUGGUCGACAAAUCUGAGCCUUAUAGAAUUCCUAGAAUUGAGUA